rnacentral:tRNA from 1 species
GCGGGAGUAGUUCAAUUGGUUAGAGCGCCAGCUUGUCAAGCUGGAAGUUGCGGGUUCAAGUCCCGUCUCCCGCG